rnacentral:rRNA from 1 species
UACGUAGGGACCAAGCGUUGUUCGGAUUUACUGGGCGUAAAGGGCGCGUAGGCGGCAAUUCAAGUCAUCUGUGAAAUCUCCGGGCUUAACUCGGAACGGUCAGAUGAUACUGCUUUGCUAGAGUACAGAAGGGGCAAUCGGAAUUCUUGGUGUAGCGGUGAAAUGCGUAGAUAUUGGAAAGACCACCGAUGGCGAAGGCACUCUACUGGGCCAUUACUGACACUGAGAGACGAAAGCUAGGGGAGCAAAUGGG